rnacentral:tRNA from 1 species
GGCUUGAUGGUCUAGUGGUAUGAUUCUCGCUUUGGGUGCGAGAGGCCCUGGGUUCAAUCCCCGGUCAAGCCC